UACGUAGGGGGCUAGCGUUGUCCGGAUUUAUUGGGCGUAAAGAGCGUGUAGGCGGUCAGGUAGGUCGGUUGUGAAAACUGGAGGCUCAACCUUCAGAGGUCGACCGAAACCCCCUGGCUAGAGUCCGGGAGAGGAGAGUGGAAUUCCUGGUGUAGCGGUGAAAUGCGCAGAUAUCAGGAAGAACACCCGUGGCGAAAGCGGCUCUCUGGAACGGUACUGACGCUGAGACGCGAAAGCGUGGGGAGCGAACAGG
rnacentral:rRNA from 1 species